GCUCACAGAAGAUAAGGUUAAGAAGGUGGCUACGCAAAUGAUCACAGAGAAGACUACUGCUGGGCCUUUUGAUCGACCAUGCGAUUCAAAAAGCUCUUUAGUGCAGUUUGCAACAACAAAAAUCAGAGGAUUGGUCGUUUGUAAGGGUGGAUAUCUCAGAGGUGGCUGCCACCCGGAUUGGAAUUUAAUUCAAUCUAUUUCCCUGUCUGAAGUUUCAUACUAGAUGUAUGUUCCUGUGAUAUGAUUUGUUUAUGGAGAUGGAGAGAUGUGACUUUCAGAGUGACAUAAAUUCAGAGUCCUUCUAUUGAAAUCUAGAGGAUCGGUUGCAUUUUUGUUGAGGUACAAGAAGAACUUUGUUUUGUGUUAA